GUGAGAUGGCUCAGUGGUUAAGAACACUUGCUGUUCUUUCAGAGGCACCACGUUUAGUUCCCAGCGUCCGCCUGAGGUGGUUCAGAACCGCUGGAACUCCAACCACCUGGAACUCCAGCUCCAGAGAAUCCAUCCUCUUCUGGCUUCCAUGGUGAGCACAAGCAGCCAUGGUCUUUGAUCUGAAAGCAGACAAUGAAGCCAGUGGUGACCCUUGACCCCACGUAGCAUGUUGCAGUUAAGUGUAUUGAAGUUAGACGAGGACACAUGGCAAACCCUGGCCAUCAAAGUGUGGGCAGGAUGUGGCUGAUGUUCUGCUGAUGCAACCAGGGCCAGCAAGUUCGUCACACUCAACUUCCCUCGAUGCGGCAACCACCGAGGUCACAUGAUCAGAUGCUGCUGUGGCAAAGGCUCCGGGCUAGAACACCCGCGCCAGACUCGGCGGCUGUGAGAAACACAUCUUUAACUGUGGCAAAUCCCUGAGAUCUCGGUUCGUUUCUGUGGUAAAACCAGACCUAUUCUGACUAAGGCUGUGUGUGAGCCUCUCUCUCUCCCUUCUUUACCACAGACCAGGAUGACAUACAUUCUCUCGAGCUUCCUCUCUAACACAGCCCUGCCUGGACAGCACCACAUCUACGUUAGCGUUCUUCUCCCGACGCUCUGCCCUCGGGGAGACAAGUCAGCAUCCUAACUAGGUGCUUUCAGUGGGGCCGAAUCUGGAUUUCAGAUCUGCUGGCUGGGAGAACAAAAUGGAUGAUAAUAAAGUUGGUAAUGUUGAGUUAAUAUGUCAGA